GGGUAGUUGUCAGAGUGUUCAUGUAUCUGUCUGCAAAACAGUAUUAGAGUGGUUAGAUUCCACUACUACCCUCCA
rnacentral:tRNA from 1 species